CUGGCACAGGUGAAUAAUUACAGGCCCGGGCAGUUUCUGUUGGGUGGAAAGAAAUGAGAAUAAAGAAUGGAAAUCGCACGUGAGCACAAAUUCACAGGUCUUGGUGGGGCCGGUCAGGCUUGGUGCUCCUGCAGCGGGGAACGGAGAGCUUUCUCGCUGGGGGAGGGAUGUGAUACGGGACAAAAGCCAGGCUUAGGAUUAGGAUCAGGCUUGUCUGAUUAGGAUGCUCACUGCAGCAGCCCCACCGGGCCCUCCCUGCCUGCUUACUUUAGGCUUAGAAGAGUUUUCUGGCAUUCCCCAGACAAGCCCAGACCGGUAGGUGUAGUUUCACUGGUGCAGUGUCCAUAGGGCCUCUCCGUGCUCCUGCAGUGUCCUCUGGCUACGCGGCACAGGAGGGCUUUGUCCUCUGUCCUGUGGCUGCGUUGCCCUGAAUCGUUUUGGGCUGGAACACCUGUAAAUUCAGGACGAUGCCUGUGUGCUGCUUUUGGCCCCUGGGCCAAGCCAUCCCUUAGAGGCAUCUGAGGAGCCACAGGCGAGAACGUUCUUAACAAUUCCCUUCCCACGGUGAGUCAGGCAGGGACUACGUGUACCAUGAAAGGAGAAAGCUAAAACAACCAAGCAGGAGAGGUCAUUCCCAGUGCCAGCAAACCACUCUCCCCUCUGGGUUUGAACUGCACCUCUCGGCUUUUUGUGAAGCGCUCUCUCACGGACGUGAAACGCUCCGGCUGUGAAGUCCAGGUGACCUUCCUGAGCUGGAGGAUGAGGGCUUGUGUUGAACCUCCCUGCUCUGGUUCUGCUGGGAAACCUUGCAGUGCUUCUGCUGGUAAAGACUCUCAGGUGUUGGAGAACCAGGUGUUGUGAUGAUGGUGUAGUCCUGCUGUAAAUGUGGGAUGAAUUUUGGUACUUGCUAAACAGCUGUAUUUUAUUUAAUAUUCAGUUUUUACCUUUUAAAAGGAGAUAAAUGGUCUGAGAGCUCAGACCUAAGUUAAUUAAAAGGGACUGAGCAAACAAAGCAUUUCCAUGUGAAGCUUUAACUCCCUGCCAGAUGCUGAACGUGCGUUUCCCCUGCAGAGCAUUUCCCUGCUGAGCAAACCAGGCUCUGCGAGCGCUGAAUAGUUCUGGCCUUUGUGCUGCAGAGAGCGGGAAAUCUUGGGGGGAGCUUGCUAAGUGGGAUGGGAACCCCCUUACCGUGUCUGCUCUCAAAGCAGACUCACGUCCGUUGGUCUGUUUCUUCACGUGGUGCAAUGUCCUGCCAGCAGCGUGGCUGUGCUGCCCUAGGUGCCUGCAGGAGACCAGCUGAGAUGUCAUUUACGCCGCUGCAGCGAGCCCUGGGCUCAGGCACAGCUCAGAGCCGAGACGUGCCGCCGUUCGCUGUGCCGCAUGCUUCUGCGAGCGGCCAGCAGCUCCCUGCCCACCUCCUCGUCCUCAGGGGCAAGCUGAAGGGCAGCUGCCUGGCUCUCUGUGCCGGCCGGGAGAGCUGCAGGCCGUCGGGAUGCUCUCCAGGAAAAGGCCACUGGCUGGAAGAAUCCGGCUGCUAACGUUAUGUUAUCCCAUGCACAGGUUAAAUCUCCUCUGCAGAAUCAUUGUGUGCUUGUGAAAGGCUCAGUGGAAAGAGCUUCGUAACUCGGUGGUGCUCCUCUUUCUGCUGGGGACGGGGUGGGGGCUGCAGGGGGCUGGGGAGGGACUCUUGGUCAGGGGGUGUAGGGAUAGGACACGGGGUGACGGUUUUAAGGUGAAGGAGGGUGGGUUUGGGUUAGAUCCAAGGCAGAAAUCCUUCCCUCUGCGGGCGGUGAGGCCUGGCGCAGGCUGCUGAAGCCAGGGGGGUAGGAUACAGACUUUGCAGUGAUAUCUUGUGCUCCCCGUAGCACCUGAUGUUAUUUCCCACUUCCCCACAGUGUUGCCAGGUCUUACCAGCCCAGAACCAGUUCCUUAUAACUUGGCCAAGUGCAGUGACUUAUUUUCACUUGCAGGAAGAAGCUUCCCUGUUUUUUGUGCCUGUCCUGCCUCCACAGUAAUGGCUUCACCUUUUUCUUUUCUUCAAAUCCCGCUCUUCCUGAGGAUCCACGCUUAAUUUUGAGGGACAGAUGAUGUUAAUGGUGUUUGUCGUGGCCUUCCAGGCAGCACGCUCGGCUGUAGGAAGACUAAUGGCACCGGGGCAGCUGGCCAGGUCGGCGUCCCACCCUCGUUUGUACAACGUUUGUUUUCUUUUAAAGGGAAAACGUAUUUAUCCCCGCUUGGCCUCCCUUUUGCCUGCUGCCCCGUCCCGUGCUGUGGCGCUGAGACCCCAGAGCAGAGGACACUGCCUGGUCACCUCUGCUCGCCCCUGCGGGUGCUGCCCCGCAGGAGAGACCUCGCACGAUCGCCUGAUCACGGAGCGUCGCACUUUGCACCGCGGCUGCUGCUUGAGUUAAUGACCGCUGCCUCGCGAGCUCCAUUACCAGCUCUCGCCUGCAAAUAUUUUGCUUUCCGUCAUCACCUGGCCAGCAGCGAGCGGCGCUUUCGGCUUUUAGGGACGUCGCUGCUGGCAGGCCGGUGGGACGUGGUGCUGUGGGUGAGGGCAGUUGUGCUCCUUUGUGGAGCUCGCGGCCCCCGUCACGCCGGGCUGCUAUUUGAGAGGCAUUUCUGGGCUCGAUCGAUAAAGGACAGAUUGCCAGAGAUAACGUCUGUGUGCGAUAAUGGAGCGUGGUGCUGCGAGAUAACGAAAGCUUUCAGGGCCGGCAACGCACGCUGUUAGCCGCCGCGCCGCAGCGCACCCUCUACAGCAAGGACGUUUGUAGUGGCAGAGCUGCUGGCGGUCAAGGAGGUGCCGUUGGCCGUUUUGGGCGCUUUUCUCACCAAUGUUGAGCUGUCCUGGGGCCUUCCCAUGCUGGGAAGGUGCUGCUCAGGCGGGCUGUUAGGCGCCUGCGGUGCGGUGGCGUGAGACCUCGUCCAGCGCUGUGUCUCUGGGACCUGGUUCUCCCGCUGGAAAACGAGCCUGGACGUGCUGGGUUCCCCCAGCAACAUCGUGGCACUCAGGGGCUCAAAUUCCCCUGUUAAAGCCAUCCACAUGCUGCCCCAACCUGCCUUUCCCUCGGGCUGCCUCCCUGCUCUCGAUUCCUGAAUUAUCGACAUCGAGAGUGAGCUCGGACACUGCUCUCGCAGAGCGUUUAAGUGCCUGAGUCCUGCGGGCUCCAGAAAUUCCCUGGGGGAUCAGGGCCGUGAGGCCGCCCUGGAGCUCAGCCCUGCUCCGUGGCACGCCAGGUAUUUGCCGUCUGCUCCGCAUUCCUGCCGCACAAAGGCCCUUCUGUCCUUGGCCAGAAAUGUUCCGUGGUGUGGGCCUGCAGUUGCCUAAGAGGCUUGUGCUAGCUCUGCGCCCCUGCCCUGCUCCUCGCAGGGUUUUAGUGAGGAAUUAUCACCUGCCAAAGCUGGAUUCUGGUGUCUGGAGCCCGCAUCAGCCUCUGCGGGACUCCGGGCUGGCAGGAGGUGUUGUGGGCAGAUGGAAGGGCCCCGCAGCCUGCCCCAGUGCCUUCUGCUUGGGAAUUACUGCUCCCGCCUUGCCCAGGGGAAAGGGAGACGAGGGAAGGCAACGUGGGUGAGGUGGGGGGUGCGUGAUGCCAGCCACAACGCUUAGGGGUCGAUGCUGUUCAUCGAGAGGGUGCCGGAAAACAAAAGGGGUAAGUCCAAAAGUGCUGGCUGGCUCCUCGUGGAUCUGCACCCCCUGUCUGCAUAUCCACGGCCAGGGUCUGCGUGGCCUGCGGGGCUCCUUUCCUCCCACCAGCCUGCGUGGGAGAC